rnacentral:rRNA from 1 species
AUUGAACGCUGGCGGCAUGCUUUACACAUGCAAGUCGAACGGCAGCGCGGGGGCAACCCUGGCGGCGAGUGGCGAACGGGUGAGUAAUACAUCGGAACGUGCCCGAUCGUGGGGGAUAACGGAGCGAAAGCUUUGCUAAUACCGCAUACGAUCUACGGAUGAAAGCAGGGGACCGCAAGGCCUUGCGCGGACGGAGCGGCCGAUGGCAGAUUAGGUAGUUGGUGGGAUAAAAGCUUACCAAGCCGACGAUCUGUAGCUGGUCUGAGAGGACGACCAGCCACACUGGGACUGAGACACGGCCCAGACUCCUACGGAGGCAGCAGUGGGGAAUUUUGGACAAUGGGCGCAAGCCUGAUCCAGCCAUGCCGCGUGCAGGAUGAAGGCCUUCGGGUUGUAAACUGCUUUUGUACGGAACGAAAAGACUCUUUCUAAUAAAGAGGUACCAUGACGUACGUAAGAAUAAGCACGGCUAACUACGUGUCCAGCAGCCGCGGUAAAC